rnacentral:rRNA from 1 species
UACGGAGGGGGCGAGCGUUAUUCGGAAUCAUUGGGCGUAAAGGGCGCGUAGGCGGCCCCGUAAGUCUUGGGUGAAAGCCCUCGGCUCAACCGAGGAAUUGCCUUGGAUACUGCGGGGCUCGAGGCUGGAAGAGGGUAGCGGAAUUCCCGGUGUAGCGGUGAAAUGCGUAGAUAUCGUAAGGAAGACCAGUGGCGAAGGCGGGUCUCUGGACAGUUCCUGACGCUGAGGCACGAAGGCCAGGGGAGCAAACGGG